UACGGAGGGUGCAAGCGUUAUCCGGAUUCACUGGGUUUAAAGGGUGCGUAGGCGGCUUGAUAAGUCAUUGGUGAAAGCUCGCAGCUUAACUGCGAAACUGCCAUUGAAACUGUCAAGCUUGAAUGUGGUUGAAGUGGGCGGAAUACAACAUGUAGCGGUGAAAUGCUUAGAUAUGUUUUAGAACACCGAUUGCGAAGGCAGCUCACUAAGCUAAUAUUGACGCUGAGGCACGAAAGCGUGGGUAGCAAACAGG
rnacentral:rRNA from 1 species